UACGUAGGGUGCGAGCGUUGUCCGGAAUUAUUGGGCGUAAAGAGCUUGUAGGCGGUUUGUCGCGUCUGCCGUGAAAAUCCGGGGCUCAACCCCGGACUUGCGGUGGGUACGGGCAGACUAGAGUGUGGUAGGGGAGACUGGAAUUCCUGGUGUAGCGGUGAAAUGCGCAGAUAUCAGGAGGAACACCGAUGGCGAAGGCAGCUCUCUGGGACGGUACUGACGCUGAGACGCGAAAGCGUGGGGAGCGAACAGG
rnacentral:rRNA from 1 species